GGAGGCGAGCGAGCGCCUGGUGGGCUCCCCGGUCUUCAAAACCGGUGGGGGGUCGCGAGGCCCCCGGCGGGUUCGAUUCCCGUCCGCCUCCGC
rnacentral:tRNA from 1 species